rnacentral:rRNA from 1 species
CCUACGGGUGGCAGCAGUGGGGAAUAUUGGACAAUGGGCGAAAGCCUGAUCCAGCCAUGCCGUGUGUGUGAAGAAGGCCUUCGGGUUGUAAAGCACUUUCAGUGGGGAAGAAAGCCUUGGGGCUAAUACCCUCGAGGAAGGACAUCACCCACAGAAGAAGCACCGGCUAACUCCGUGCCAGCAGCCGCGGUAAUACGGAGGGUGCGAGCGUUAAUCGGAAUUACUGGGCGUAAAGCGCGCGUAGGCGGUCUGAUAAGCCGGUUGUGAAAGCCCCGGGCUCAACCUGGGAACGGCAUCCGGAACUGUCAGGCUAGAGUGCAGGAGAGGAAGGUAGAAUUCCCGGUGUAGCGGUGAAAUGCGUAGAGAUCGGGAGGAAUACCAGUGGCGAAGGCGGCCUUCUGGACUGACACUGACGCUGAGGUGCGAAAGCGUGGGUAGCAAACAGGAUUAGAUACCCCGGUAGUC